rnacentral:rRNA from 1 species
AAAUUGAAGAGUUUGAUCAUGGCUCAGAUUGAACGCUGGCGGCAGGCCUAACACAUGCAAGUCGAACGGUAGCACAGAGAGCUUGCUCUCGGGUGACGAGUGGCGGACGGGUGAGUAAUGUCUGGGAAACUGCCCGAUGGAGGGGGAUAACUACUGGAAACGGUAGCUAAUACCGCAUAACGUCGCAAGACCAAAGUGGGGGACCUUCGGGCCUCACACCAUCGGAUGUGCCCAGAUGGGAUUAGCUAGUAGGUGGGGUAACGGCUCACCUAGGCGACGAUCCCUAGCUGGUCUGAGAGGAUGACCAGCCACACUGGAACUGAGACACGGUCCAGACUCCUACGGGAGGCAGCAGUGGGGAAUAUUGCACAAUGGGCGCAAGCCUGAUGCAGCCAUGCCGCGUGUAUGAAGAAGGCCUUCGGGUUGUAAAGUACUUUCAGCGAGGAGGAAGGCGUUGUGGUUAAUAACCACAGCGAUUGACGUUACUCGCAGAAGAAGCACCGGCUAACUCCGUGCCAGCAGCCGCGGUAAUACGGAGGGUGCAAGCGUUAAUCGGAAUUACUGGGCGUAAAGCGCACGCAGGCGGUUUGUUAAGUCAGAUGUGAAAUCCCCGGGCUCAACCUGGGAACUGCAUUUGAAACUGGCAAGCUUGAGUCUCGUAGAGGGGGGUAGAAUUCCAGGUGUAGCGGUGAAAUGCGUAGAGAUCUGGAGGAAUACCGGUGGCGAAGGCGGCCCCCUGGACAAAGACUGACGCUCAGGUGCGAAAGCGUGGGGAGCAAACAGGAUUAGAUACCCUGGUAGUCCACGCCGUAAACGAUGUCUACUUGGAGGUUGUGCCCUUGAGGCGUGGCUUCCGGAGCUAACGCGUUAAGUAGACCGCCUGGGGAGUACGGCCGCAAGGUUAAAACUCAAAUGAAUUGACGGGGGCCCGCACAAGCGGUGGAGCAUGUGGUUUAAUUCGAUGCAACGCGAAGAACCUUACCUGGUCUUGACAUCCACGGAAGUUUUCAGAGAUGAGAAUGUGCCUUCGGGAACCGUGAGACAGGUGCUGCAUGGCUGUCGUCAGCUCGUGUUGUGAAAUGUUGGGUUAAGUCCCGCAACGAGCGCAACCCUUAUCCUUUGUUGCCAGCGGUUAGGCCGGGAACUCAAAGGAGA